CUGAUUUUUUUACAGAAUGAGAGGAAAGUCCGGGCAACGUAGAGCACCAUCCUUCCUAAUGGGAAGCUGUUCGCGAGGGCAGAGUAGUGUUACAGAAAAGAACCGCCUUGCCACAGCAGGGUAAGGGUGAAAAGGCGAGGUAAGAGCUAACCGCUCCCAUAGUAAUAUGUGAGGCAGUACGCCUGAUGUAUUGCAAGCUCAUGUAUACCGAUGCAGUAGGAUAGUUGGUCUCGAUAUCGGGGUGAUAAAUCGUUAUAGAUAUAUUGGUGAUAAUGAACCUAGAUAA
rnacentral:RNase_P_RNA from 1 species